AUUAGAUUGUACCAACAUUUACUUGGAUAACUGUGGUAAUUCUAGAGCUAAUACAUGCAAAACAGAGAACUGACCAGUGAUGGAAGGAACGCUUUUAUUAGAUCAAAACCAAUCGGUGGCCCGCGGUCCGCCGUGCGUCCACCGUUUAUUUUGAUGACUCUGAAUAACUUUGUGCUGACCGUACGGUCUCUGCACCGGCGACGCAUCUUUCAAAUGUCUGCCUUAUCAACUGUCGAUGGUAGGUUCUGCGCCUACCAUGUUUGUAACGGGUAACGGGGAAUCAGGGUUCGAUUCCGGAGAGGGAGCCUGAGAAACGGCUACAACAUCCAAAGAAGGCAGCAGGCGCAUAAAUUACCCACUCCCGGCACGGGGAGGUAGUGACGAAAAAUAACGAUACGGGACUCAUCCGAGGCCCCGUAAUCGGAAUGAGUACACUUUAAAUCCUUUAACGAGGAUCCAUUGAAAUGCAAGUCUGAUGCCAGCAGCCGCGGUAAUUCCAGCUCCAAUAUCGUAUAUUAAAGUUGUUGCGGUUAAAAAGCUCGUAGCUGUAUCUGUGUCGCACACCGUCGGUUCAUCGCUCGCGGUGUUUAACUGGCGUGAUGUGGGACGUCCUACCGGUGGGCUUUGCCUCGCGAGGGGCGGCACAACUAAUAUCCCGUCGCGGUGCUCUUUACUGAGUGUCGAGUCGGGCCGGUACGUUUACUUUGAACAAAUUAGAGUGCUUAAAGCAGGCUAUCCUCGCCUGAAUACUGCGUGCAUGGAUUAAUGGAAUAGGACCUCGGUUCUAUUUUGUUGGUUUUCGGAACCCCGAGGUAAUGAUUAAUAGGGACAGAUGGGGGCAUUCGUAUUGCGACGUUAGAGGUGAAAUUCUUGGAUCGUCGCAAGAUGGACAGAAGCGAAAGCAUUUGCCAAAAAUGUUUUCAUUAAUCAAGAACGAAAGUUAGAGGUUCGAAGGCGAUCAGAUACCGCCCUAGUUCUAACCAUAAACGAUGCCAGCUAGCGAUCCGCCGAAGUUCCUCCGAUGACUCGGCGGGCAGCUUCCGGGAAACCAAAGCUUUUGGGUUCCGGGGGAAGUAUGGUUGCAAAGCUGAAACUUAAAGGAAUUGACGGAAGGGCACCACCAGGAGUGGAGCCUGCGGCUUAAUUUAACUCAACACGGGAAACCUCACCAGGCCCAGACACCGGAAGGAUUGACAGAUUGAUAGCUCUUUCUUGAU
rnacentral:rRNA from 1 species